GGUGUUCAUUUGAUUGUUAUGUUGAUUGUUAUUUUAUUUAUUACUUUUAUUUGAUUCAUUUGAUUUUAUUUAUUUAUAUUUUAUUAUUUUACUUUUUUAUUUUAACACUUAUUUUACUUUUUUAUUUAAAUUUUUGUUCUUUAUUUUCAUACAGUGGUACCUCGGGUUAAGUACUUAAUUCGUUCCGGAGGUCCGUUCUUAACCCGAAACUGUUAUUAACCUGAAGCACCACUUUAGCUAAUGGGGCCUCCUGCUGCCGCCGCGCCGCCGGAACACGAUUUCUGUUCUCAUCCUGAAGCAAAGUUCUUAACCUGAAGCACUAUUUCUGGGUUAGUGGAGUCUGUAACCUGAAGCGUAUGUAACCUGAGGUACUACUGUAUUUUGAUUUUACAUUUUUAUUUUGUGCACAUUUGUGCACAUUUUGUAUAUAUUUAUUUUGUGCAUAGAGUAGUUAGGGGUAAGUGUAGGGUUAGGGCGAGGGUUAGGCUUAGGCUUACGGCUGGGAUUGGGUUUGGGGUCAGAGUUAGGCUUUGGUGGGCAUUUUAAAUACUUAGCUAGUUUAAAGAGGAGGGUGGGAGUUUUUUGUGAACAAAAUGUGCAGACUGUAAGUAGCAUUCCUCUGCUUUCUCUUGGUCUCCUGGGGGCAGGGUGUGAGUCCUGGGGUCCCCUGCACAGCCUUAGCUCUCUGGAAAUUGACCUGACCAGUCUUCUCCAGAGACCUCAGCUCCUCCACACUCUUUCCCUGCCUUCCCCUUUUCUCUCCCCACGCAUCAUUUACAUUUUCUAGGACAUUCCUAGCCCACUUUCCUCCCAGGAGCUCAAGGUGGCCUUCAUGGUUCUCUCUGCCACCAAUUGUUAUCUUCACAGCAACCCUGCAAAGUAGGCUAGCCUAAGGUCCACCAGGGAGCUUCAUGGCUGAGUGGGGAUUCGAACGCUGCUCUCCCAGGUCCUCCUAGUCCAGCCCUCCAAUAGGGCAGUAAGUAUCAGAACUGCAUGGCAGAAGUAGGAAGCUUCAGGCCUUCAUUUUGUCUCUUGCAGUCUAGGCUAAAACAUGUUUCUUCAGAACUAGAUAUGACUCAAUGAGACUAAUUCAAAAGUAGUUCUUCUUCUUCUUCUUCUUCUUCUUCUUCUUCUUCUUCUUCUAUUCAUUUAUUAAAUUUAUAUACUGCCCUAUAUCUGGGGGUCUCAGAGCAGUUCACAGAAUAAAAUAAAGAUAUAAAACCACAAAAUUAAAUUAAUGAAUUAAUUAAUUAAUAAUAAUAAUAAACAACCCAAUAGCCUCUCCCCCAGCCCAAUAGGAUUGAAGAGCAAGCUUAAUACCAAAGAGCACACAUUUAAGCUCCAAUAAGGUUUCUGUCUCAUACAACACGGGUUUGUGUGUGAGAGAAAAUUAAGAGAUAUACAUAGCUGCAUGUAAAUAGUUAUGAGAAACAUUCUGUUUUCCAAGUUUUGUCACAUAGCUUUAACAGUACGUAGAUCUUGGAAAUACCAAAAGGAGGCUGGUUAUUAUUUUGCCAGUCCUUCGUAAAUACAGAGCAGUGGUUUCGGAAAGACCUUUUUCCGUCCUCCCGCCUUCCCUUGAUAGUUUAGACAUAGCAGCAUAUUCCACAGUGCAAACUUCUAAACUAUUUGAAAACGAGAGAGCUCCCAGCAAUGCUUUGACAGGGGCAAUGGAGCAAUGAAGGCUCCCCCUGCCGCCAAGAAAGGUAAGCUGCUCAAUAGAGCUACCAGCUUUUUACUUUCAGUGCUGUUGGUUAUUUUGGACGGGGGGCUGGUGGUUUGCAGGUGUAUUCUGCAAUGUAGAAUCACAGAAUCGUAGAGUUGGAAGGGACCCUGAGGAUCAUCUAGUCUAACCCCCUGCAAUGCAGGAAUAUGCAGCUGUCCCAUACGGGGAUUGAACCUGCAACCUUGGCACUAUCAGCUCCACGCUCUAACCAGCUGAGCUAUCCAGACGUGUCAGUGGGACGCAGGUGGCGCUGUGGUCUAAACCACUGAGCCUCUUGGGCUUGCUGAUCAGAAGGUCAGUGGUUCGAAUCCUCGUGACGGGGUGAGCUUCCGUUGCUCGGUCCCAGCUCCUGCCAACCUAGCAGUUCGAAGCACGCCAGUGCAAGUAGAUAAAUAGGUACCACUGUGGCGGGAAGGAAAAUGGUGUUUCCGUGCGCUCUGAUUUCCGUCACAGUGUUCCAUUGCUCGAGAAGCAUGACCUGGAAAGCUGUCUGUGGACAAACGUCGGCUCCCUCAGUCUGAAAGUGAGAUGAGCACCACAACCCCAUAGUCGCCUUGGACUGGACUUAACUCCCAAACUCAUCCUGAAGCUGUGUUUCCCAAACUUGGGUCUCCUGCUGUUGUUGGACUACAAAGCCCAUCAUCCCUAGCUAACAGGACCAACGGUCAGUGAUGAUGGGAGUUGUAGUCCAACAGAUUGAGAAGCAUUGUCCUAAAGUCUGAGCAUUUAAAAUCAGAAAGAGAAGUGGAGAAGCCACAUACAGUCCAUUUUCUUACCCAUACAAUGGAGCUUAUGUUGCAGGGUGGCGGGGAUUAAGUAUGUUGCAGUAACACAUUAGUUCCUUAGUUUAAAUUUUUUCGCUUUGAAAACUAAACAGGUCCCAUCCUUGUCCCGCCGUCAGCUGCAUCAUAAUGUGCAGGCAGAACAAUGCAUGUUCUAAAAUGCAUUUGGCCACUAGGGGGUGAAUGUGCACUAUUCUUUCUCUGCGGAUAACAAUUUUUAAAAAGAUGCACUCCUUUGGGAUUUAAUUUUGGGUACUUGCUGGAUGACGCCAUUGAAUAGGAGAGUUUUGAAGCCUUAUCUCAGUUUAGAAAACAUGUGGAUGCUGUCGCUAAUUGUCCCUAAGUGUUUCGUUUUGAAUUGGGAAGCCGCUGGUAAUCUCUGUCUUUCUAAAUAUACAGAUAAAUAAGGCAGAUGCAGUUAUUUAUUUAUUAGCACUCUAUUUGGAAUGUAGGAUGACACGAAGUGGUUUUAUCUUGUCAGCUGCUUUUUUUGUCCACGUAGCCCAGAAAUGUGUGCUCUGGCGGGCAGCACCAACACAGGGUAUGAGGCAGAGGCCUUUUGCAUCAUCUGCUACAUGAGCCUUUUAACUGGAAAUGAAAAGAACAGCACCUUCAAAGCAAGUUCUCUGUCACUGAGCAGUGGAAUGGUUUAAAAGAAAAGAAAAGAAAGAAAAUCAGGGAAAAGAGGAAGAGUAUGAAUCUACCCCAGCCCAGAGAGAGGGAGAUCUCCACUGGAGAAGCUUUACUGUGGCAUUUGAAAUCUUCUCUAACACAUACACAAAAAUAGGGUGGCCAUAUUUAAAAAAGUAAAAACCGGGAGCUUUUUCUAGACAAACCCCCAAAUUGAUGAGUUUUGGUUUUUUAAAAACAAAACACCAAAAAACCUAAGAUGCAGGACAAAGCGCUGCCUUUUGGAAAUUCCCCCCGGACAUCAAUUCCGCCUUUGAAAAUCUGGUAAUGUCCAGUGAUGUAUGGCAGCCAGACACAAAAAGGUGCAGAAGUUGUUGUGCUGUACACACUAACCUUUUGAAUCACAUUCGAGACACGUUCCUUCCCUCAAAGAAUUCUGGGCGCUGUAGUUUCUCGAGAGUUGCUGGGAAUUUAGCUCUGUGAGAGGUAAACUGCAGUGUCUACAAUUCUUUGAGGUGCUUUGGAUGUGCUUUAAAGGAAUAUUGAGUACACAGCCAGGGUAAGGCUGCAACAAUACUAUGCGCCGUUACUUGGAACAAGGUCCACUGAACUCGGUGGACUGUGCUUCUGAGUAAACAUCAUUGUUAGGACCAACACAAAGAUCCUAAUGGAGCCUAGCCUUCCAAUGACCCCAUAGGAUCCUGUGUUGGAUGUGCAAGCCGUUUUAGAUGGGAGGUUUGAAUUCAAAGUGAUUUGGGUCCCAUUGACUCUGAACUCAGCUACACAGCUGCAAAUAAAACAUUUUAAGUCUGCUGUAAAGUGCAAUAUACAAAUGUGACACUAGAUGGCAACAGUGAGCUACGGCAAAUUCAACAUAUUUUUCAAAACUUUUUUUUAAAAAGCAUUUUCACGGCCUUUUUUAUAUGUGUGUAGACCCCAAGUCAAUGGGACAAAAUUCAAUUGAAAUCCCUAUGCUGUGGAAUCAAAACCCCAAUCUGAUUGGCUAGAUUAAUCCAAUAACCCGAUCUCUGCCGCUCGAACCUUAUAAAUAACAGCAGCUGCAAAAUGCUUUCCAUCACGCCUCCCUUCACUUCCUUGGUGGGCCUUAUUUUGUAUUUUUGUUGUUGUUCUGUUCAUCCCAAGUGAGAGGAAAACCCCAUCCUGGAUCAGGGAGGCAGGACUGUGUUGGCUAAAAUCCAACGGCUGCAUAUGGUCUAUGCUCCCAGUUUGUUUUGCUGCCACACCAGACAGCUCUAGAGACCCGUAAGUUGAAUUAUGUGUCAGAUGAGGAAUGAGGGGGAAAAGCAUGGAGUGAUUUCCCUUUUCCCUGCAAGGCUGAUUCCAAGGCAUUGGCUAGCUCUUUUCAGCUGACGUGAGCUGAUGGGAGGAUUUGAGAAUCCGCCUUGCCGGCCGCAGGUGAGCAGAAGCCCCUCUUGGGCUUGUCGAGAGGCAGAGCAAGUCAUGCGGCCAAGCCGGGCAACCGAACAACCACGUCAGCAGAAACGCGAACUUGGUAACAGGUUGAUAUUGCGGUUGCUAGAAUCAAGGCUGCGAAAAGCCUGCCCAGAAUCGAAAAGCCUGCCCCACACCGGGGAGGCUGCCAAAACAAACAGAGCCUUGUGCAACGUACAACAGAGUGCCCUUGCACUUGAUCUCUUUCUUUUGCAGAAAUCAGUCUUCCUAGAAACUCCCUCAUGGACUAGAUCUCCUUCACCCUGGGACACUCUCAAAAAACAAGUUUAGUUGAAUGAGGAACUCUGCUUAGGGAAUGAAGCAUGCUUGUAAUUUUAUUUGCCCUGCUUUCCUCUGUUAAUCUUAAACUCUCUCUCUCUCUCUCUCUCUCUCUCUCUCUCUGUGUGUGUGUGUGUGUGUGUGUCUUGGGCUUUAUGCACACAUUUGCAGCGCAUUUCAAGCAUACAACCUGCUCCGAAUCCUGGGAACUGUAGUUUGCCACGCACCAAGCUACAGUUCCCGGCACCCGUAACAAGCUAUCAUUCCCAAAAUAAUUUGGUGGUGUGUGUGUGUGACAUGUUUUAAAAGUGCUCUAAAUCUGUGGUGUGUAUGCAAUCUUGUGGUGGUAAAAUCAAAAGCUUAAACGAAAGUGAGAUGGUUAUAAUUUCCGAACAUUUUCCUGUUUUAAUGGAGCUGGGUGGAGGAAUCUCAAAAUUUGAUUAAUAGAGCUAUCAUGCAAUAAGUAAGAAGAGUGAAGAUACUUUUAUGCUCAGAAUGGAACAGUAAAAGGGAAAAGGGAAAACAAUACAUAAGGUGUAACAAUACAUAACAAUACAUUGGGUAAAAAAAUACAUAAGAUGUUGUUUUUCAGAGAUUGUGGAUUUGUCUAUUUACUACAUGAACUACUGUCAGGGAACUGACAUCGGAGCUAGAGGUGGAGGGAAGGCUCUCUAAUGAUGCUGGAGAAGGGCCCAGCAGGGAGAGAGGCAGCUCAGCAGAUGGGGAAGCAAUUCAGUGCAACACCAGGAAUAAGGAGGGGCAGAUGGGGGAAUCGGCGAGAGGGCUCCAGGACUCUUCACCGGACACCAGCGGGGAGAGCACUGGUCCUCCGCUACCCAUGCCCUCCCUGCGCAGAAGACUUCCGCGCAGAGAAAGUAGGAGGAGACUGGGUGUCAAACAACUUUUAUGUUGGAAAAGGUUUAAGAAACGCCCACUGACGGAUUCUGCUAGCGACUGAGGCAGUCACGAAUUGAAGGGCUGGCCAGACAGAAAGGUUUAACCAGGCAACAUAGCCAGGAGAGGCGGCAACUUACGCACGAGCAACCCCAUACCAUUAUAACUACCACAUUAAUGCAAGGACUCGUGGUGAUGUACAUAGUUCCCCCUCUUUCAUUUUAUCUUCAAAACAUCCCUGUGAGGGAGAUUAGGCUGAGAAUAUCCCAAUGAGCUUUGCAUCUGAGUGAGAAUUUGAAAUCUGGCCUCUCUGGUCCGAGUCUGACACUCUUAACAGUUAGGGUUGAACCGCAAAACUGAUUCUCAAGUUCCCAAAUUAUUAUAUUAUGUAAAAUGCAUUUUAAUGGGGAGAACAGGUGAAGACAGCUGCCUAAGAGACUGGUAAGCUGUUGCCAGUCAGAGAAGGCACUACAGUGGUACCUCUGGUUACAGACUUAAUUCGUUCUGAAGGUCUGUUCUUAACCUGAAAAUGUUCUUAACCAGAAGCAUCACUUUAGCUAAUGGGGCCUCCUGCUGCUGCUGCGCCGCCGCCGCGCAAUUUCUGUUCUCAUCCUGUUCUUAACCCGAGGUACUAUUUCUGGGUUAGCGGAGUCUGUAACCUGAAGUGUAUGUAACCCGAGAUACCACUGUACUGAACUAGAUGAACUACUGACUAGUCUCAGUAUAACUUAAGGCAGUUUCAUAUCUUCUUUGGCGAUCACUCAUAGCCAAGUAAGAUUGUCUUCCAUGAACACGGUUUUAACAGUGAGUCUGUAAGUGACUGUGGAGGCCAAUUCUGGAUCAACACAUCCUUCCACAGUAGGGACAUAGGUUUCUGGGCAGGAGUUGAUCAUGGUGAGGGUUUGGCAAGCGUGCCUUCCUCUUAGCACAUUUCUCCCUUUCCUCCUGAGUUUGAGUGUCUUCAAAGUCCAUGACACCUUUGGUAAAGGCUGUUCUCCAAUUGGAGUGUUCACAGGCCAGUGUUUUUGAGUUGUCGGUGUUUAUACUACAUUUUUAAGAUUUGCCUUGAGAGAGUCUUUAAAACUCUUUUGUUGACCACCAGCAUUACGCUGUCCAUUUUUAAGUUCAGAAUAGAGUAGUUGGUUUGGAAGACGAUAAUCAGGCAUCUGAACAACAUGACUAGUCCAACGAAGUGGAUGUUGAAGAAUCAUCGCUUUUACACUGGUGAUCUUUGCUUCUUUCAGUACACUGGCAUUAGUUGGCCUGUCUUCCCAAGUGAUGUGUAAACUUUUUCGGAGACACCGUUGAUGGAAUAGAAUCUCAUAUCUAUCUAUCACUUAUCAUCUAUCUAUCUAUCUAUCUAUCUAUCUAUCAUCUAAAAUAAAUGCUAAUCCAUUUUGAGAGUUAGAAACUAGAAAUCUUUCUCACAUACAAAAGCCACAGUCCAUCACACGGUUAAGCACAAGCCAGCCCAUUAAGUUUGAUGGGUUUAAGUGCUGGAUCGUGGCCAUGAGAGAUUAACAAAAACAGCCUUGUCAGACUUUUAUCGCCAGCUUACUCUGGGAGCGUUUCCAGCUUUUCAUACGUCGACUUUGUCUCCCGAAGCUACAUCUCCUUAAGAGCAAUUUUAUCUAUAGUGGGCAAAUUACUUAAUUGCAUGCUAUUAAAAUAAGAGAUUCCAGUUUGAGUACAAAGCUCCAAGGUUCAAAGUUGUAGGUGGUUGGGUUUUUUGUGUGUGAAAGAAAUUAGGUGAAAAUCUUAUCGGCGAUCUGUAGGACAGUUUGAAGUUUCGUUUCACUCUGCCGCAUGAAAGCUCAACAGAUUCUGUGUUGUGCAACAAAGAAUCUAGGUUUCAUAUUUUCAGAACUACAAGUAACACUCGCUCUCUUAAUACUGGCUGGGAUCCAGCAUUCCCCCACUUGGAUCCCCGCAAUGCUAUAUCAAAAGCUGCUUUUAAAGUUUCCUCACCCAGAUCAUAGGCUUUGGGAAGGCAACACAAGGGCUAUGGGGUGUGUGCAAUGUUGUCAAGGGCUGCCAAAAAAAGGCCUCGAGGGCCGCAUGUGGCCCUUGGGCCACGCAUUAAACAACCCUGCUUUAUAGCAUGAAGCCAUCCCUGAAAUUUUGAUUGCGGAAGUCCUGCUCAAACGUGCGUGUUUCCCCAAUAGAAUUAACAAGGAUUCCUUAGUGCCAGGAGAGUCUGAUCUCUGAAAGUUUUGGGAGGGGGCUGUUACUGAUCUUACUGGGUCCCACCAGGAGGUUUGGCUGGCAGGAAGCUGUGCCACUCUGUGUGGGCACAUUGCUUUGAACGUCUUGAGAGCGACUCAGUGCCACGUGAGAUGAUGGCGUUGCUCCCAAAAUGUUCCAGGAAGUGCAACUGAGAGGCCUGUGAGAAGCACAGCAUUUUUAUUAAGUUAGAAAAGCAGGGAAGAAAUGAGAAACCUUUGUCUACCUUGUAAGAUUCAUAAAAGUAAAUCAUCAGCUGCCUCCUUAAGAUUUCAGAAAUAAAUUGCUCCUCACGCCCUCCUGUGGUCUUUCAGGAGAGUUUUGUUUUGUAGGGGUGCCAAGUAAAAAGCAGGACACCCCGAAAGUGUUGAGCAAAAGCUACGAGAAUUUUGAGUUCUGCAGCUGUUUUUGGCAUUUUCGUCACGAUUUAACCCCCGUUGCCGGUUUUCCGGGACAUUUGCCCGAUUUCCGAGAAAUACAGUGGUACCUCGGGUUAAGUACUUAAUUCAUUCCGGAGGUCCGUACUUAACCUGAAACUGUUCUUAACCUGAAGCACCACUUUAGCUAAUGGGGCCUCCUGCUGCUGCCGCGCCGCCGGAGCCCGAUUUCUGUUCUCAUCCUGAAGCAAAGUUCUUAACCUGAAGCACUAUUUCUGGGUUAGCGGAGUUUGUAACCUGAAGUGUAUGUAAUCCGAGGUACCACUGUAAUCCAGGAUGCUAUUUUGGGGGGAGAAUUCCAGGUCAUGUAGCAGUGGGAAGAAUGGAGUUAGGAUUUCUGAUUUCCUGCUUGGAUAACCACUUUGUUACUUGCAUAGCUCAACCCAGGUUGGAAUAAAAAGUGUUUGGACCACACAUUAAUUAACCACAAAACUGUCCAUAUAUCCUUAUUAUCAUGCAAUCAUGGUGAUUUGUGCUCAUGAUGGUAUCAGGGUGGUUAUACACAAUCCCACUUUCAAGACUGCUUCCGCUCUCAAAAGUUUUGUGCCAGAGGUAUCGUUGCCCAUUCGUCCAGAUCUGGCGCUUCUCCAGCUGAUCAUGAGAACUCUAAACCCGGGAAGACAAAUGAAUGAAUGAAAGGAAAGCAAGAGUGAUGGAGAGCUGGACUUUCCAGAUUUCCCUUAAAUCCAAGCUCAGCCAUGAAGCUUAUUGUAUGGCUGUGGGUGGGUCAGCAUCUCUUUUGGACCCAGAGGUUCUUGCGAAGAUAAUCCAGUAUCUGCCAGCCUAAGUUUGGAGGAUGGAACGGAUGCAAAUGUGAUAAAUAAGAUCGCUCCCUUUGGUUAGCAGUUCUGGGGCUCGCUUUUCAUCUGACCUGAGACAAUACUGUUGGGGCACAGAAUCUACUGCAGACCAGAUGAAAUAAUGUAAUCAUUUAAUAGCCCUUUUCCAGCCAUGACCUUUGCUCAGUGAGGCAGUAAACACUGAAACAAAAACCACAUUACCUACCUAACUAAUUGUUUUAACAAGAUAUGUUAAUGCAUUGCCCUAAGUCUGUGUAGGACAUACUUUGAGGUGAUCAAUGGGACACGGGUGGCACUGUUGUCUAAACCACCGAGCCCCUUGGGCUUGCCAAUCGGAAUGUCGGCGGUUCGAAUCCCCAUGUCGGGGUGAGCUCCCAUUGCUCUGCCCCAGCUUCUGCCAACCUAGCAAUUCGAAAGCACGCCAGUGCAAGUAGAUAAAUAGGUACCAUUGUGGCAGGAAGGUAAAUGGCGUUUCCGUGUGCUCUGUCUUCCCUCACAGUGUUCUGUUGUGCCAGGAGUGGUUUAGUCAUGCUGACCACAUGACCCGGAAAGUUAUCUGUCGACAAACGCUGGCUCACUUGGCCUGAAAGCGAGAUGAGCACCGCAACCCCAUAGUCGCCUUUGACCAGACUUAACCGUCCAGGGGUCCUUUACCUUUACCUUUUUACCUUUAAGCAGAUAUGUUAAUAAAUUCCCCAAAUGCACUGCACUAAAUCUGUGUAGGCAUAUUUUUAGGUGAUCAAUGGGGCUUACCUUUAGAAAAGUGUGUAGUACAGUGUGCCCAUUAAUUCUGCAAUUGAUUGUAGUAUAUGAAUUGGCCUGAAACCUUCUGUCUCAUUCUUACAGAAAGGGAAGCUGUUUCUCAUUCCUUUUACACCAAGCUGCACCCAGAGAUUUGUGGUCUCCCAUGCAGUCAAGCCGAGGAAUCUUUAGACUUUGGACUCUUUGGGCAAUUUAUCUGUGUUUCCUCUAUUAAGUUUGUACUUUGUAAUCAGUCUUGGGUCUCUGAUGCCUCGCAUCUGGGAAGGUAGCCUGGUGCCCCGGGGCGGCUGAACUAGAUGUUCCUUUCAAAAAGCAAAUUCAGGGACACAUUGACAAACUGGCCUGAGCCCCACCCAGACCUCUUCCAGAGUCUUAGACGGUGGCACGAGGAAGCAAUGAGCUACUAAAUUCUUAGUGAUAUAAAUAUGAGCAGUCUGAAUUGUACCAGCAUGAUCAAAGGACUAGCUCUCCAAACAUUUGGUUGAUAAUCAAUAUUUUUAGAAAAGGAGGAAUGCAGCAGCCUGCCUGCUGCUGAUGUCGAGCCCCAAUGUGUCGAUUGGAAAGUGGCAGGACUGGGAAUCUGGUGGAGCCAAGAUGUUAAAUACAGUCAGACCUUGGUUGUUCAAUGCCUUGGCUCUCCGACAUUUUGGCUUCCAAACGCCACAAACCCACAAGUGAGUGUUCCGGUUUGCGAACGUUUUUUGGAAGCCAAAUGUCUGAUGCUGCUUCUGUGGCUUCUGAUUGGCUGCAGGAAGCUCCUGCAGCCAAUCGGAAGCUGCGACUUGGUUUUUGAACCAUUCCGGAAGUUGAAUGGUCUCCUGGAACAGAUUAAGUUCGACAACCAAGGUACCACUGUACUAGAGUUUCUGAAUCCAGAUAGGUUUUUCAGACUGCCAUAUUCACCCCACUUACCUGAAAGUGAGCAGCAUCAAUUCAAUAGAAUUGACUUCUCAGUAGACAGGGUUAGGAUUACCCUCAGCAGAUUAAUUUGUGGUAAUCUAUCCAAUUCCUGGGGUAGCCAAUCCUGACCUCAGUGGAUUUGUGUCUGUCUGAAUGAAGGAAUAUCUAGUCUACAAAUCUGUAGCUGUCUUGUAUCAGUUUAGCGACAUCAAUUUCCUUCCCAAAAUUCCUGGUGUUCUCCCUUAGCUUUGUUUAGAUUUGGCCUUUGUAUAUUUGGAUAGUCCUACCUGGAAAAUGGGCUUGGCGAGGUGGGAGAUUUCAUAGAAUCAUAGCGUUGGAAGGGACCCUGAGGAUCAUCAAGUCCACCCCCUGCAAUGCAGGGAUAUGUAGCAGUGUAGGGAUAUGCAACUGUCCCAUAUGGGGCUAAAACCUGCAACCUUGAUGCUAUCAGCACCACGCUCUAACCAACGGAGCUACACUGGAAGUUGUCAUUUGGUGAGAUUGCUGAAAAUGUCGUUUGGGGGUCCCCAAUCUCCCUCUCUGAACUACAAUUCCCAGAGGUCUGAUUGCUACGUCAGUCUGUAUGUGGCACGACCUUUGCUAGGGACGCGGGUGGCGCUGUGGGCUAAACCACUGAGCCUCUUGGGCUUGCCGAUCGGAAGGUCAGCGGUUCAAAUCCCCACGACGGAGUGGGCUCCCAUUGCUCUGUCCCAGUUCCUGCAAACCUAGCAGUUCGAAAUCACACCAGUGGAAGUAGAUAAAUAGGUACCGCUGUGGCAGGAAAGUGAACGGCGUUUCUGUGUGCUCUGGUUUCCGUCACAGUGUCCCAUUGCGCCAGAAGCAGUUUAGUCAUGCUGGCCACAUGACCUGGAAAGACAAACGCCGGCUCCCUUGGCCUGAAAGGAAGAUGAGCGCCGCAACCCCAGAGUCACCUUUGACUGGACUUAACCAUCCAGGGGUCCUCUACCUUUUUAAAAAAAAACCUUUUACGACCUUUGAUGUGAUUAAACUGCUCCCUGGUUUUCUGUUAAGCUGACUUGGCUUCCAUGCUAGUUGCGUGUUACGCUCCUUGGGUAUCGAGAAUGAAAUUACUGGCUCUACAAAGCUGCCCUUUGUUACUUUUAUUUACUAAAUCGUCCCCUUGCGGGUUUUUCCAGUUUCCUCCACACCAUAUUAUUUCUUUCUGGUUUCAUUAAUACAAACACCUUUUAAUGUGCUUUUAAUUUCGUUCAUUCACUCCGUGUCUCUUGCAUUCCUCUGCCUUGACUGUCAGUGACUUAUGCAUGAAGAAGAGACUUGUUUUGCCGGGCACAAGAAUAACUGUGGCUGACAUUAGUGAGUAUCAGGAAUCAAUAUGGGAACACUUGAUCAAAUCUUGUGGAACAGGUCUGCGGAAUUAUAAGUCUAUUUUGGAGGGACAUGUUGAGGCAUUCUACAGUUUUUUCCGCAAAGUAUCUCAACCCUUUGAACCAUUUCAUCCAUUGUAGAGGAAAUUAUUAAAUCCUGGUUCUAGGGGCAUUUAAGACCUCAGGCUGGGCUCUCUCUCUCUUUCUGCCCCAAUUAUUCACACCUAGAUACAAUCUUAGACAUUACACUCAGGGCACAUCAGGAUGACCUGCUUUUUGAACAUUCAUCCUGAUUUGCUUGCAGGAAGAUUAGACGACAUUUGCUGUUUAAUUGACAUUCAUUCUGAUUUGUUUGUGGGGAGGUUCGAUGGGUCUAAAUCUUGUCUUAACACUUUUAUUCUUUCUCUUCUGUAAAGCGGAUGACAAUGCCAAUUCCAUCUCAUGUGAAAAGUGCUAUAUAAAUGAAGGAUUAUCCUGUAACCUGCCACCUCCUCCUUUCCGUAACACCUUGACUUUGACACCACCCUUGCUUGACAUUCUUUGCCGCAAAAAAAGAGAGAAAAAGUUAUUAGUUUAUUUAGAAUUUUCCCUCCCAAGAUUAGCUGGAAAUUCAGAAGAUAAUGUAGCUGAGAUGGAAUUUUUAAUUUCUGCUGAAUAAUCAUUCAGCAAAAGGCACACCCUGGAACAAAGUUGCCAUCAGAAAGACACACUCAGAGGAUGGGGACUUCCUUGCUUUUUCCUUCAUUCCAUCAAGUUUAAAGUGAGAUUGCCAAGUAAUGUAGAAUAGGCUGAAAGACACUGUUUCACCAAAGAUCACCCAGUGAGCUUUAUGAAACCCUAGUAAGCAAUAGCAAUACCCCCCCUCCCAACCCAUCCCAGAAAAACCCUUUCAGAGAAACGUUAAGACAUCAAGCUUUAGUAACUAUGAACCCCGAAAUUUGGGAUCACUUCCAAACUGGUGCUAAAGUUGUGUACUUGUUUUGUGCUGUGAACCCUGAAUCUUGUACCUUCCCAGAACCUGAGUAAUUGACACAUCAAACCAGGAUGAGAUUUUUAGGUGUUAACUACAAACCCCAGUGUGAUAAAUCAAUUGCUCAGUUUUGAGGGGCGGCACAACUAAAUGUGGAGUUUGUGCUACAAAUCAAUACAAAAUGAGUACAAAACUUUGGCACCAGUUUGGAGGGGAAUCUCAAAUUUCAGAGUUUACAGACCCUCCAAUUGUCCCUAUUUUCCAGGGACAUCCCUGGAAGCCAUCCCAGUUUCUUAUUUGAUCCCGGAAUGUCCCACUUUUCCUUAGGAUGUCCCUCUUGUCAUUGGAGAAAUGUUGGUGGCUAUGGAGUUAUCCAAUCCCCAAGCUGUCUGAAGGCAAUCCUGUAUAGGGAAGUGUUUUGGUUUUUUAAAUGUUCAAUGUUUUUCUGUGUUUUUAUAAAUCCUGGAAGCUGCCCAGAGUGGCUGGGGCAACCCAAUAAUAUUUGUGGGGUAUAAAUAGUAAAAUUACCAUUAUGGAAUGGAACGUCCCUAUCUUCAUCUGAAAAAUGUUGGAGGGUAUGAGUUCAUGGUUAAUAAAGCUGAGAGACCAGGGUUCAAAUACCCGCCAAGCUCACUGGGAUUUAAACCCUGAUCUCUGAAAGUUUUGGGAGGGGGCUGUUACUGAUCUUACUGGGUCCCACCAGGAGGUUUGGCUGGCAGGAAGCUGUGCCACUCUGUGUGGGCACAUUGCUUUGAAUGUCUUGAGAGCGACUCAGUGCCACGUGAGAUGAUGGCGAUGCUCCCAAAAUGUUCCAGGAAGUGCAACUGAGAGGCCUGUGAGCAGCACAGCAUUUUUGUUAAGUUAGAAAAGCGGGGAAGAAAUGAGAAACCUUUGUCUACCUUGUAAGAUACAUAAAGGUAAAUCGGCAGCUGCCUCCUUAAAAUUUCAGAAAGAAAUUACUCCCCACCCCCUCCUGUGGUCUUUCAGGAGAGUUUUGUUUUGUAGGGGUGCCAAGUAAAAACCAGGGCACCCCGAAAGUUGUUGAGCUUUUUAAAGACGAACCUCAAAGUUGUUGAGCUUUCUUCAGUAAAAGCUACAAGAAUUUUUGAGCUUUGGAGCUGUUUUAGGCAUUUUUGGCAAGAUUUAACCCCCAUUGCCGGUUUUCCAGGACUCUUGCCUGAUGUUCAAAAAAUAAUCCAGGAUGCCAUUUUCGGGGGAGAAUUCCAGGACAUGCCCUGGACAAUCAGGAUGUAUGGCAGCCCGAGACUGUAGCAGUGGGAAGGAAUGGAAUUAGGAUUUCUGAUCUGCUGCUCGGACAACCAAUUUGCUACAUGCAUUGCUCAAUCCAGGUUGGAAUAAAAAGUGUUUGGACCACAUGUUGAUUAGCCACAAAACUGUCCAGAUACCCUUAUUAUUGUGCAUUCAUAAUGAUUUGUGCUCAUGAUGGUAUCAGGGUGGUUUUAAGACCCCCAAAUACAGUGGUACCUCGGGUUAAGUACUUAAUUCGUUCCGGAGGUCCGUUCUUAACCUGAAACUGUUCUUAGCCUGAAGCACCACUUUAGUUAGUGGAGCCUCCUGCUGCCGCCGCACCGCCAGAGCAUGAUUUCUGUUCUCAUCCUGAAGCAAAGUUCUUAACCUGAAGCACUAUUUCUGGGUGAGCGGAGUCUGUAACCUGAAGCAUACGGUAUGUAACCUGAAGCGUAUGUAACCCGAGGUACCACUGUAGUUGAGUUUUGUUUUACAACAAAAACGCCAAAAAACCACAAUUUUUUGAUUGACUUACCAAAGAUCCAGGACAAAGUGCCACAUUCCACCUUUGAAAUCCCGGUGACGUCCGGGCAAUUCUGGACAUAGAGCAGCCCAUUGAAUGAAUGGCCAAAACAGACCGUUUCAGAGCAGUCUCUGUCCAAAGCUCUACAAUGCCUGGGCCCAGCCCGGGACCAAACGUAAAGCAAACAACAGGUUAUCGUGACAAACAGGGCGGCUUUGAUUAGCUGUCACACAGUCUUUUUAACAACACCCUGUAAAGCAAAGGGAAAGGGGGUGGGGGUAGGGCAAGCACUCCAGCAAGACAAAAGGUAUCUGGAUUCCGGUAAUUUGGUGUCUGUGCUUUACCAAAAAACAAAACACUGCGGUGGUAUUUGCUAAGCUUUGCAAUUCCAGAGAAUUGUGCAAUUAUGCAACAACCAAAGGAGGAAAUGAAUCCAGGGUAACUAAGCCUCGGAGGAGACAUGUGAGACUCCACAAGCAAGUCUUCCUUUUCACCAUGCGCCAUUAUAAUGGAAGAAAGGCUGGAUACGCAAGAGUGGAUAAAUAAAUAACCAUGAUUUAUGUCUUUAUAAUUACCCAGAGGCAUACGUCACCCUUCCCCCCACUUUUGUACUCUCACUUAUCUUCCUUCUCUCCAAAAUAAGGUGUGACAACUGCUGGUGUAACCCACAGAUAGAUGGUCAUGUCCAUACCAUGCCUUUCAAGCACAUGUCUUUCCCCCCAAAGAAUCCUGGGAAUGGAACUCUAAGGAUGCUGGGAAGUCUAGCUCUGUGAGGUGUGAACUACAGUUCCCAGGACUCUUUGGGAGGAAAGCCUCGUGCUUGAAAGGCAUGGCGCGGAUGUGACCGAACAUGAAGGAUGCUCUCGGUUUCCUAACUCCUUGGAUAUCAUUUUUGCAGCCCUUACAUAUUUUGGGAACAGCAGUCCUUGGGAUGUAGUGAAAAAUAUUAUGAUUAUCAUGGCUAAGGUAAAGGUAAAGGGACCCCUGACCAUUUGGUCCAGUCGUGACCGACUCUGGGGUUGCGGCGCUCAUCUCGCUUUAUUGGCCGAGGGAGCCAGCGUACAGCUUCCGGGUUACGUGGCCAGCAUGACUAAGCCACUUCUGGUGAACCAGAGCAGCGCACGGAAAUGCCGUUUACCUUCCCACCGGAGUGGUACCUAUUUAUCUACUUGCACUUUGACGUGCUUUGACGUGCACUUUGAACUACUAGGUUGGUAGGAGCAGGGACCGAACAAUGGGAGCUCACCCCGUUGCGGGGAUUCAAACAGCCGACCUUCUGAUAGGCAAGUCCUAGGCUCUGUGGUUUAACCUACAGCGCCACCUGCGUCCCUUGAUUAUCAUGGAUACUGUACAGCUAAUUUACAACAUGAAUGAAAAUAUGUACAACAUUGUACAUAUUGUGCACACAUUGUAUACGUUGAGAUCCGUGGGUAUACAGUAUACAAAUGUAAUAAAUAAUAAUGGCUCUUUGUUGUUAUUGCUGAUCUUACGUUCUCAAAAUGUUCUCAAAUGAAGGAUCCAGUCUGUGCAUCAGCACCCAGUUAUGUACAAAAUAAGGAAUUGCAAGGAGACCAUCUUCCUUACAGCAAUAGACCAGUCCACCCGGCCAGAGAAGAAUGGCAGAUCAAGUUGAUGGAUUAUGUUGAAAUGGCUAAAAUGACUGGAAGAAUCAGAAACCAGGAAGACUAAAAUUUUAAUAAGGAACGGGGGAAAUUUAUAAUUUAUCUUUAAAACCAUUGUAAACAGUUAAAAUUGUUAGCAGGAUUGGAAUAACACUUGUAGUCUAAUAGUGAAUUUUGGAUAUAAUGGAGAUGUAAAAGAUCUGGAUUAUUAUAAAAGAUGCAGGAGGAAAUGACUAACAAUAGAUCCCGCAAAGGGGAGGAGGGAAGUCCAGGAGAUUAUUUGGAAUCUUAUUUUUAUGAUGGAUAUUGGUUUUGUGAUUGUAAAACUUUAAUCUGAAAGACCAAAUAAAUAAAUUUAUAUAUAUAUUCAAAAAUGAACUUAAAAACAAAAACCAGUAAUGCAAGUAACAGUUGCAAUGUAGUACUUUGUUCCUUCGUUGUCACAGAAACUUAGAAGUGUGGGAUGAUCAUAAAGUGCAGCAAUUAUUAACAGAGGCCACUGUUUCUGAAGAAAAUACUGUUUGAAAUGUGGUCUUUUCUGUGCAUGGAGAGCAACUGGAGGCUUGAUUUGUCUCCUGCAAGAGCUUGGAGCAUCCUAGAACUCUUCUAUGCACUUCCUUCGCAGGCUAUUAAGUCCUGUAGGUGACACUGUUUUCUGGCCUCAAUAGGAAGACCAGUGGGUCGGAAGCUGGGCAACAGCACCGGCUCUACCAUCAUCCAGAGUGAGGCAGCCACUUCAGAUAGUGGAUUUUGACAGGGAUGGCAGCCCAGUGUCAGAGGACAGAUCAACGUGCCCCGCUUGCCACACCACUCCACAGCUAGCCUGCUGUCUUCGGUUGGGGUGGCGGACACUGGUGGAAUCUACACACAUAUUAAAAAACGCUUCGAAAAUACUUUUUUAAAAAAAAGUUUUGAAAAAUGCAUGGAAUUUUGCAUAGCUCGCCACCGCCAUCUAGUGUCACAUUUGUAUAUUGCACUUUACAACGCAUUUAAAGCAUUUUUUUUGCAGCUGUGUAGAUGAGCCCACUGCCCCAUCUCCAGCAUUGAAAUAAGAUCCAAUUCUUGAUCCGGUCAGCUUACAGAAGGAGGGUGGGCACCAACUUUUGCCUCAGGCAGCAAAAUAUACUGAGUGGGUGAAUUAUGCUGGAUUGGCCUUCACCUUUCCUGAGAUUCACAGAUGGGGAGAGGGCAGAGGAAGGAGAAAGCCAGCCCUGCAUAUUUCUUCCUCUCUGCCACCAUUGCAUGCACAAACAUGGAGCCACCCACGCUAUCCAUGUAUUCCCGCCCUAAAGACGUAGAAUUAUAGAAUUGUCUAGUAAGAAGGGACCAGAAGAGCCAUCUAGUUCAACCCCCUGUAAUGCAAUAAUCUCUUGUCCGAUGUGGGAUUCGAACCCACGACCCUCAGAUUAAGAGUCUCAUGCUUUAACAACUGAGCCGUCCCAGCAGACAUAUAGAGAUCAGGGGUGUUGUCAUAUGUGGUCUAUGCAUGUAAUGGCUCCAUGCCCUCUACAGAAAACUGCCCAUGACACAUCAACCUGGAAAAAACAAAUUAACUUAGUAUGUAUCAAAAAAAGGAAUUGUGCCUCAGAGGCAGGGCUAGAAAAUUAAAUGUGGAAUUUAAAAUAAUAGGUUCCCACUAAGCAGGUUUAAAAAACAAAACAAAACCCAAAAUGAUCUUAAACUUCUUUGUUUGGGAUCAAACCACCAAAUGCGUAGUAGUUUAAAGGCCACAUAUAUGGUGUGUUUUUUCUAAACACACCUUCCUUUGUGGGAAAAAGUGAUUAUAAGUCUCAGUUUCUUUCCCCACAGACCACAUGAUCCGAGCUACUUGCGAAAUGUUGGAAAACGAGUUUCAGAUGGACUAAGUGCCAACUACCGACUGUUUCCUCCUUCUCCUCUGUGUACUAGCUACAAGGACAAAACAGCGUAACAAGGAAGUUUGUGUUCCUUGGGAGGUGGAUUUGACCGAAAGGAGAGAGAGUUAAAAGCAGCGUCUCCUGUUAAAUAAAAUCCGCUUUAGAAAACCUCCCAUUCCUUUUGCAAAUCCCAACCACAAAGGCAAUGGCAUUGAGCACAAAAAAGGAUCCUCAGAGAUGUAAACAGAGAAGCUGGGUCGAGAGCACGUUGGGUUAAAACUCCCACCAAUCUUUUCAAAAUAAAUUAACUGUUCAGUGUGGCUUAGAUGCUGGUCAUUGAUCUUCCCACAUUCGUGUGUAAUCCUUUUAACCGAUGCUCCCACCAGUCCCAGCCAGCAUGCCCAAUGGCAAAGUAGGAUGGGAUUUGGAGUCUGAUGACAGCUGAGAACACCAUGUUGGAUGUUGCAAAUGUAUAGACCUUGCGCCCCAUCAGAAUCUCCUCUGUCCCCUGUGCCAGGAGACAAGGAGGGACUUGAAGCAACAGGAGCUGCGGGAGUUGCAGCACAGUAGUCUCUGGUGGCUUACGGGGCCUUGUGUUGGACAAGGGGGCUCAAGUGAGCUGAAAGGGGCAUGGCGUGCUGUUGUGCCAACGAGUCCGGGUCUUUGCACAAGUCUGAAGAGGUAGACACCUAACUAGCUCCUUAGCAAGAGUAAAAAGAUAAAGGUAAAAGACCCCUCCCCUUCAUGGAUCACUGCCCCUUCAUGGAUCACUGCCUUGCCGUGGCGAAGGGGCUUGAAGAACUCAGAGAAGCUAUGAACUAUGCCGAGCAGGGCACCCAAGAUGAACAGGUCAUAGUGGAGAGUUUUGACCAAACGUGAUCCACCUGGAGCAGGAACCGGCAAGCCACUCCAGUAUCCCUGCCAAGAAAACUCCAUGGACAAAGACAACAGGCAUAUAAAAGUUAUGACACUGGAAGAUGAGCCCCUCAGGUCGGAAGGCGUCCAACAUGCUACUGGGGAAGAGCGGAGGACAAGUACAAGUAGAUCCAGAGCUGAUGAAGUGGCUGGGCCAAAGCCGAAAGGACGCUCAGUUGCGGAUAUGCCUGGAAGCGAAAGGAAAGUCCAAUGCUGUAAAGAAACAUAUUGCAUAGGAACCUGGAAUGUAAGAACCAUGAACCUGGGUAAGUUAGAUGUGGUCAAAAGUGAGAUGGCAAGAAUAAAUAUUGACAUCCUGGGCAUCAGUGAACUAAAAUGGACGGGAAUGGGCGAAUUCAGUUCAGAUGACCAUCAUAUCUACUACUGUAGGCAAGAAACCCGCAAAAGAAAUGGAGUGGCCAUCAUAGUCAACAAAAGAGUGGCAAAAGCUGUACUGGGAUGCAAUCUCAAAAAUGAUAGAAUGAUCUCGAUACGAAUCCAAGGCAGACCUUUUAACAUAACAGUAAUCCAAGUUUAUGCACCAACUACUGGUGCUGAAGAAACUGAAAUUGACCAAUUCUAUGAAGACUUACAACACCUUAUUGAAGUGACACCAAAGAAGGAUGUUCUUCUCAUUAUAGGGGAUUGGAAUGCUAAAGUAGGGAAUCAAGAGAUAAAAGGAACAACUAGCAAGUUUGGCCUUGGAGAGCAAAACGAAGCAGGGCAAAGGCUAAUAGAGUUCUGUCAAGAGAACAAGCUGGUCAUCACAAACACGCUUUUCCAACAACACAAGAGACGACUCUACACGUGGACAUCACCAGAUGGGCAGCAUCGAAAUCAGAUUGAUUAUAUUCUCUGCAGCCAAAGAUGGAGAAGCUCUAUACAGUCAGCAAAAACAAGACCUGGAGCUGACUGUGGCUCAGAUCAUCAGCUUCUUAUAGCAAAAUUCAAGCUUAAACUGAAGAAAGUAGGAAAAACCACUGGGCCGGUAAGAUACAAUCUAAAUCAAAUCCCUUAUGAAUACACAGUGGAAGUGAGGAACAGGUUUAAGGAUUUAGAUUUGGUGGACAGAGUGCCUGAAGAACUAUGGAUGGAGGCUCGCAACAUUAUACAGGAGGCAGCAACGAAAACCAUCCCAAUGAAAAGGAAAUGCAAGAAAGCAAAGUGGCUGUCCAAUGAGGCCUUACAAAUAGCGGGGGAAAGAAGGCAAGCAAAAUGCGAGGGAG
rnacentral:lncRNA from 1 species